UCGUUGUUAUCUAGAAGCAGCUAUUGCAAAUCGGUAUGAAAUAGAUUGCUCGGCAGUGUAUGUUAUUUCAAACCGAAUCCGACGUUCAAGUCAAGUUGUUGUGUUUCUAGACUGCCCAAAAAAGAAUUCAUCAGCCCAAGAAUGAAGAUUCUGUUUGUAAUUUGUGGAGUUUUGCUGGUAGCUCUGGCCGUGAGUGGUCGACCGGUGUGUGAGGAAUGCGACGAGGAAGCCCCACUGGCAGUUCCAGAUGAUCAAGUUUUGAAAGGAGUAAAGCCACCAGUAAUUAAUCCGGUAGCAACCUUCGAAGAGGAUAUGGAGAAUGUUGAUCAGAUGAACAUAAUCGAUGCUCCCGUAGUUUGCCCACCGGGACAGAGGCCAGACCAUAAUGGAAAGUGCCGUGAAGUAUGGGGCCUGUAGGAGUCUAGACGGAAGCGUUAUCAGUUGACUUCUGAUGUUUACUAUUCGAUGGUUUACAACUUACAGGAAAUUUUUAAUGCAGUUUCGAAUGCUAUCUUAUCACGCUGUACAUUAUAGCAACUACUUGAAGUAGUUCCUGUCGUCAAUAAAAUGCAUAUCACUUGGGUAAAAA